AGAUUGAACGCUAGCGGCAUGCCUAACACAUGCAAGUCGAACGGUAACAGGCCCUUCGGGGUGCUGACGAGUGGCGGACGGGUGAGUAAUGCGUAGGAAUCUACCCACGAGUGGGGGAUAGCCCGGAGAAAUCCGGAUUAAUACCGCAUAUGCCCUACGGGGUAAAGCGGGGGAUCGUAAGACCUCGCGCUGGUGGAUGAGCCUACGUCCGAUUAGUUAGUUGGUGGGGUAAAGGCCUACCAAGGCUACGAUCGGUAGCUGGUCUGAGAGGACGACCAGCCACACUGGGACGUGAGACACGGCCCGACGACUCCUACGGGAGGGCGAGC
rnacentral:rRNA from 1 species